CAGAUAUAAGCCAAACGGUGAGGCGCUACUUUUGGGAAGUAGAUACGGUUAGUUCGACUCUAACAUAUCUGA
rfam:Sugiyamaella lignohabitans strain CBS 10342 mitochondrion genome.